ACCACAAAGGCCCAGCCCUGACGAGGAAGUGUCGUCUCAUUCAAACGCUGCACCGGCUGACGCUGCAUCAAACCGAUGAAGAUGUUAUUUUUGUUGUUGGCAUUUCCCUUCUUUUUCAAAGUUUGUACCGGCCUUCUUCUUUCUGGAGAAGUGGGAGGGACGGUGUUGUUUCAAUGCAACUCAAUAAAGAUGGAAAUAAAGUCUAUGUCCUUUCAAGGAGGCACAGCUUUUAAAAAGGUUAUAAUUGGAUAUCAUGCUCCGACGAACAAGACCGAAGUCCUUCGACCUGACACCUUCUUGAACAAUGUGGAUAAAACGGUAUCCUUUGGAAAUCUAACCGUCUCAGAUGAAGGGACCUAUAAAUGCAUCAUAAACCAUGGCGUCGGUAGAGGAAAAACUGAGGACACCAAAACAACGCUCAGCAUAACUGCAACCCCCGAUACAGUGACACUAGAGCGUCGCAUCCCUGUUGACGUCUCCAAUGCCUCGCUUACAUGUACUGCCAUCGAGGUCUAUCCAGUCAGCAAAAUAUCAUGGAAUGUUUCUGGUGUCCUUGAGCAUCAAUGGGAGAACAUAGUCACGCAGGAUAAGAAUUCUCUGCUGUUCAACAUCUCUAGCACUGCGUUCUUCAACUGUUCAGACAAAUCAGCGCGACUCAUCAAGUGCUCUUUGGGGGGCGUUUCCUCUGACGAGAAGAGUGUCUGCCAGCAGCCCAAAGGUCUCACUUCACUAUACUGCCUUCUAAUUUUAAUCGCACCAGUCCUGGGGUUGGGCGGAUUUUGCUUGCCGGGAGAACUGAAAAAGAAAUCCACCAUGACCACGGAUGCCGGAACAGCAGAAUGUGCAGGUUGCGGAGCGACAGGUCUUCCGCUGGAGAACCGGUGCGACUCCCAUCAGACAGCAGAGUGCAGCAAUGGGUGCCAUGGGGACCACGGCCGAGAAGGAGACUGAUAU